CCUGCAGGCAAACUCCAUCCGUGUGCGCAUCCCUCCAUGCCGGCGUCUUGCCGUGCACCUGCCUCUCCGUGCACGCAUCCUUCCCUGCAGACCUUCCCCAUACGACCGGCAUUUCCAGGGUCGUGCCCCCUAUUUUGCACUGUGCCUUCAUGCACGUACCCAUGCGUAUUUACAGUGAAUAUAAACAAGGAUAAAAGGGGUGUAAGAAGGAGGAGGGGAUGCUAACCCGGUUUUACAGAUGGCAAACUGAGCCACAGGGAGAUGAAGGUGCCUGCCUUGGGCCACCGGGGGGAAUUCGUUCCAGAGCUGGAAAGGAAAAGGCACUGCUCUCAAAUUUCAGUUCAAGGCAGUUUCCAGCCAUGAAACUCUAUUCCUUUUAGCGCUAAUGCAAGCUAUUGCUUGCUGCAGGGAUGUGUCAGGACUGACAAAGGGGGAACUAGAGUGACAUUAUAGGCAAUACAAUACACCUUUUCAGGCACUCACUUUGAACAUGCUGGUUGCAGUUACUUUGAUAGAUCCCACGUCUCUACAGGGAUCCUGGGCUCAACAGCCUCUGUGGGGUUGAGGAAUGCCCUGCUCUAAAAAUAUUGUUCAGCAAAAAGGGGAUUGUUGCUGGCUGUGGAGCUGCAGAGCGUCUGUGCCACAUAGUGGAGCAACUCUGAUUUUGUAAGGCAGACUGUGUUACAAGUGCAGUGCUUUUCAGCAAUUUCUCAUUUAACCUCUACAGGCACUGCCUUAAUCUGUUUUGCUUUAAUGAGGAAGGACCUGGCACUCACCAAAGGACUUCCAGGAUGGCCUAGGACAAGGAUACAGAGCAAAAGAAGGAUCCAAGAAAGGCUUAGGGAGUCCUUGGGAGAAAGCUGAAGAGCUGCAGGCCAGAGAACAGCUCUCUGCUGUCUGAAGAGCCCGGCUCACUGGCUCAUGGGGCUAACUAUUAAUACUAGCUGUAGCACUGUAGCUGUCAAGCUGUGGCUGUGUUCCCUCCUUGUAGAAAAUGCUAAGCCGGUAAGUGUAUAUACCAGGUAAGGUGUGGGCUUCUUGGGGCUUUUGGCAGGUUGCUGUUUCAGCCUCCAGUGGGGCUGUAUUUGGGGCUUGAUCUUUCAGGCUUCCUUGUGGAUCUUUAGGAGUCUCAUCAGUGUUCUCCCAAAUGCAAUUGGAAGGGGAUUUAUUGGGAGAUUUUAGAAGCAGCUGGAUAUGACUUUAGAAGACAUUAACACACACUAUCUGGACAUGGAGUCAUAUCCCUACCUCAUCAAGACUACAGGAGAUUUGGGAUGGGGCAGGAGGAGAUCUUUAGAGAAGCUCAAAAGGAUCACUGCUAAUAAGUUAUUUUCCCACACACAUAAAACCUGGUUCUCUGUUGGCUAGAAAUGUCUAGAAAUCCACACACUCAGGCAGAGCGGUACUAUAAGGUUACACUCCUUCUUUAAUAAGUAUUUUCCUUCUUUGCAUUGCUGUUAAUGAUAGCAAGAGAAGCAGGGCAGUGGAAAAUUUGGACUACAGAUUGUGGGGGUGGAAAUAUUUGUGUCACUUCAAUAAAUUCUUCUGUAUGCUCUUCA